AAUGAACGCUGGCGGCGUGCUUAACACAUGCAAGUCGCACGAGAACGCCUCAGCUUGCUGGGGCAAGUAAAGUGGCGCACGGGUGAGUAACGCGUGGGUAAUCUACCUCCGAAUUGGGGAUAACAUUGCGAAAGCGGUGCUAAUACCGAAUAAUAUCCUUGAGACUCAGGUUUUGAGGACCAAAGGUGGCCUCUACAUGUAAGCUAUUGUUUGGAGAUGAGCCCGCGUACCAUUAGCUUGUUGGUAGGGUAACGGCCUACCAAGGCUGCGAUGGUUAGCUGGUCUGAGAGGAUGAUCAGCCACACUGGAACUGACACACGGUCCAGACUCCUACGGGAGGCAGCAGUGAGGAAUUUUGCGCAAUGGGGGAAACCCUGACGCAGCAACGCCGCGUGAGUGAUGAAGGCCUUCGGGUCGUAAAGCUCUGUCAAGUGGGAAGAAUCUGCCCGGUGAUAAUACCGCUGGGCAAUGACGGUACCGCUGAAGGAAGCACCGGCUAACUCCGUG
rnacentral:rRNA from 1 species